ACCAGACUCCUACGGGAGGCAGCAGUGGGGGAUAUUGCACAAUGGGGGGAACCCUGAUGCAGCGACGCCGCGUGGGUGAAGGAGCGUUUCGGCGCGUAAAGCCCUAUCGGCAGGGAAGAAGGAGGACGGUACCUGACUAAGAAGCCCCGGCUAACUACGUGCCAGCAGCCGCGGUAAUACGUAGGGGGCAAGCGUUAUCCGGAUUUACUGGGUGUAAAGGGAGCGUAGACGGUUAUGCAAGUCUGAAGUGAAAGCCCAAGGCUCAACCAUGGGACUGCUUUGGAAACUGUAAAACUGGAGUGCAGGAGAGGGAAGCGGAAUUCCUAGUGUAGCGGUGAAAUGCGUAGAUAUUAGGAGGAACACCAGUGGCGAAGGCGGCCUGCUGGACGACAACUGACGGUGAGGCGCGAAAGCGUGGGGAGCAAACAGGAUUAGAUACCCCCGUACAA
rnacentral:rRNA from 1 species